GAUGAUAGUUUAUGUUCAACAAAAACUGAAGGUUUUAAUGAGAAGGGAAGUGGAGGAAGUUUGAACGGAAAACAGCCAGUGCUGAGCAUCACUGUGAUGCAGGAAGUGAAACUGCCAUGAUUUUGAAGAAUGACAAGCCACAAUACAAACCUAAAACGUACUUUAAAAGUGUAAAGUAAUUGAAUACGCUGCAAUAUUUGUGUUUUUCUUUUGGCAUAAAGGGAUAAAUGCAUGAUAACUGCUUAAAUAUGUCAAAUACGAUGUGUUCAUGAGGUUGACAGCUUCCUUCAACUGAAGUUUGUAUUACUGUAUUAUUUGUGUAAGAUGAUGUUUUAUUUAGGAUUUUUUUAACCAACUGAUUUUGCUUCUUUAAGAUAAAGUUUUUUUUUUUUUACAUCGACUUGUUCUUCUUUUAUAAUGGCACUAUUAUAAUGGUUUCAGGAGUAAAAACAUUACAAAAUGUUAAAAAUAAGGGUGUCAAGACAACAGAGGAAGAUGUUGAGUGCUUCCUCCUCUAUUGUGAAAAAGGCUAAAUCUGUUGCAAUGACGACAUUUCCUUUCGGGAUGUCAUGCAAGCAACAGCGCACAAGAAAAGUCAUUUUAUGCAGUUAAACAGGGAACAACAAUGAGACACUAUGUUAAUGAGCAGCCAAGGCAAAGUAAUCAGAAGCGAAGCUCCUGCGAGCGGUUUUUCCUCGGCUUCGGUCUGAUAUGUAUCACUCAAGCUCUUCUCAACAUCUCUCUGCGUAUGACCUUGAAUUGCAGUAAGAAUCCUUUUUAUUGCAACACAACUGAUGUCGCAGUCCACACGCUGGAUGAAGCAAUAGAAAUCGGCAUCAUGAACAGGUAUCAGAAGUUACAAGAAAAAGUCAAGGCCUUGACCAGAGACAAUAAGAUCCUUGAGAGGAGAAACCAUGAACUGAUGGGGAAAUGUGGGUGGCAAAGGCUGCCGAGGAAUCACACACUGCCUGGUUGAGCACACUCCUUUUGGGGCCUACAGGAAGCCAGAGGAGGCGAAGCAAGCACCAAAUGUGGAGCUUGGUUGUUUCUCUAAUGUCAUUUUAUUCUCUUUUCUUCUAUUUGCAUUGCUUUGAGUUGAAGUAAGCUUGUAUCCAUCACAAGAAAUGGCUGCGUUGUUUUUAUCUUAAGAUUGUGCUUUAAAAGGAUUAAAAAUAGCAAACCUUACAUUUGUAGUAGGGGAGAAACAAAUAAUUUUAACAAAUUAUUAAAUUCAUGUUAUAAUUUGCAUUCACGCUUCAUUGUCAAUAUUGGUUCAUUUUGAAUAAUUCCCUGACCUAAAAUCAAUCCAGUACAUUAAACCACCCAGUAUGGUCACACAUAUUGGAAAUUUCAAAGUGUUGCCACACUUUGGACUGUAAUGAUGGCUCCAUCAUUGUUUGCUGUCAUCACGUGUCUUGUCCGAUGUAAUGGUACUUGCUUGUUUUUACGGUAUAGAAAAAUAAACCUACGGUGCUUCAAUCCAAA